AUUGAACGCUGGCGGCAGGCCUAACACAUGCAAGUCGAGCGAGCGGCGGACGGGUGAGUAAUGUCUGGGAAACUGCCUGAUGGAGGGGGAUACCUCCUGGAAACGGUAGCUAAUACCGCAUACCAUCAGAUUUGCCCAGAUGGGAUUAGCUAGUCGGUGGGGUAACGGCUCACCUAGGCGACGAUCCCUAGCUGGUCUGAGAGGAUGACCAGCCACACUGGAACGGAGACACGGUCCAGACGCCGAAGGGAGGCAGCAGUGGGGAAUAGUGCACAAGGGGCGAAAGCCGGAGGCAGCCAUGCCGCGUGUGUGAAGAAGGCCUGCGGGUUGUAAAGCACUUUCAGCGGGGAGGCGUUACCCGCAGAAGAAGCACCGGCUAACUCCGUGCCAGCAGCCGCGGUAAUAC
rnacentral:rRNA from 1 species